rnacentral:rRNA from 1 species
AGGACGAACGCUGGCGGCGUGCUUAACACAUGCAAGUCGAGCGGUAAGGCUCCUUCGGGGGUACGCGAGCGGCGAACGGGUGAGUAACACGUGAGUAAUCUGCCCUUGGCUCUGGGAUAAGCACUCGAAAGGGUGUCUAAUACCGGAUACAACAACCUUACGCAUGUGAUGGUUGUGGAAAGUUUUUUCGGCUGGGGAUGUGCUCGCGGCCUAUCAGCUUGUUGGUGGGUAAUGGCCUACCAAGGCUUUG